GUCACACUGCAACCGCACGCUUCAAGUACCCUAAGUAUUUCAAGAAUGAAAUCACUUGUUUGCGGCGAGUCUAAGUAAAUUA
rfam:Lactobacillus equi DPC 6820 NODE_134, whole genome shotgun sequence.